rnacentral:rRNA from 1 species
GACGAACCGUGCAAGCGUUGUUCGGAAUCACUGGGCUUAAAGGGCGCGUAGGCGGUCAAUCCAGUCCGGGGUGAAAUCCUGCAGCUCAACUGUAGAAGUGCCUUGGAUACUGAUUGGCUAGAGGGAGGUAGGGGUCAUUGGAACUUCUGGUGGAGCGGUGAAAUGCGUUGAUAUCAGAAGGAACGCCGGUGGCGAAAGCGGCUCACUGGAUCUCUUCUGACGCUGAUGCACGGAAGCUAGGGUAGCGAAC